UACGUAGGGUGCAAGCGUUGUCCGGAUUUAUUGGGCGUAAAGAGCGUGUAGGCGGCCAGGUAGGUCAGCUGUGAAAACUCGAGGCUCAACCUCGAGACGCCGGUUGAAACCAUCUGGCUAGAGUCCGGAAGAGGAGAGUGGAAUUCCUGGUGUAGCGGUGAAAUGCGCAGAUAUCAGGAAGAACACCCGUGGCGAAGGCGGCUCUCUAGUACGGUACUGACGCUGAGACGCGAAAGCGUGGGGAGCGAACAGG
rnacentral:rRNA from 1 species